AGGUGUGACAUAUACUCGCAAGAGGAAUGCGCAAAUCCCACGCUGCCGAGAAAAGCUUCUAGCGGUAAAGUAGAGACUGCCCGUACUGGAAACCGACACAGGUGGUCAGGAUGAGAAAUCUAAAGCGGACAGGCUAACUCUCGUUAAGGAACUCUGCAAAAUGGCCCCGUAACUUCGGGAGAAGGGGUGCCUUUAGGCGUGAGUAUACAAGCGAUACAAAGCGCUUUGAGGUCGCAGUGAAGAGGCUCAAGCAACUGUUUAACAAAAACACAGGUCUAUGCGAAGCUGUAAGGCGAAGUAUAUGGGCUGACACCUGCCCAGUGCCGGAAGGUUAAGAGGAGGAGUGAGAGCUCCGAAUUGAAGCCCCGGUGAACGGCGGCCGUAACUAUAACGGUCCUAAGGUAGCGAAAUUCCUUGUCGGGUAAGUUCCGACCUGCACGAAUGGUGUAAUGAUUUGAGCGCUGUCUUGACGGGAGGCCUGGUGAAAUUGUAUUACCGGUGAAGAUACCGGUUACCUACAGUAGGACGGAAAGACCCCAUGGAGCUUUACUGUAGCUUGGUAUUGGGUUUUGGCAUGGCAUGUAUAGGAUAGUUGGGAGACUGGGAAGGAAUGGCGCUAGCUGUACCGGAGUCAUCGGUGGAAUACCAACCAUUCCCUGCUGAAAUUCUAAUCUGUACUUUGGAGGUACGGAGACAGUGCUAGGUGGGCAGUUUGACUGGGGCGGUCGCCUCCGAAAGAGUAACGGAGGCGUUCAAAGGUUCUCUCAGGUUGGAUGGAAAUCAACCGCAGAGUGCAAUGGCAAAAGAGAGCUUGACUGCAAGACUGACGGGUCGAGCAGAUGCGAAAGCAGGACAUAGUGAUCCGGCGAUUCCG
rnacentral:rRNA from 1 species